UACAGAGGUCCCAAGCGUUGUUCGGAUUCACUGGGCGUAAAGGGUGCGUAGGCGGUUUGGCAAGUCUGAUGUGAAAUCCCGCAGCUUAACUGCGGAACUGCAUUGGAAACUGUUUGACUAGAGGAAUGGAGGGGAGACUGGAAUACUUGGUGUAGCAGUGAAAUGCGUAGAUAUCAAGUGGAACACCAGUGGCGAAGGCAGGUCUCUGGGCCGAUACUGACGCUGAGGAGCGAAAGCGUGGGGAGCGAACAGG
rnacentral:rRNA from 1 species